UACAGAGGGUGCAAGCGUUGUUCGGAAUUAUUGGGCGUAAAGCGCGUGUAGGCGGCUUUGCAAGUCGGGUGUGAAAUCUCCCGGCUUAACUGGGAGGGUGCGGCGGAAACUGGAAUGCUAGAGUGUGGGAGAGGUAAGCGGAAUUCCUGGUGUAGCGGUGAAAUGCGUAGAUAUCAGGAGGAACACCUGUGGUGUAGACAGCUUACUGGACCACGACUGACGCUGAGGCACGAAA
rnacentral:rRNA from 1 species